rnacentral:rRNA from 1 species
GAUGAACGCUGGCGGCGUGCCUAAUACAUGCAAGUCGAGCGAACGGACGAGAAGCUUGCUUCUCUGAUGUUAGCGGCGGACGGGUGAGUAACACGUGGAUAACCUACCUAUAAGACUGGGAUAACUUCGGGAAACCGGAGCUAAUACCAGAUAAUAUUUUGAACCGCAUGGUUCAAAAGUGAAAGACGGUCUUGCUGUCACUUAUAGAUGGAUCCGCGCUGCAUUAGCUAGUUGGUAAGGUAACGGCUUACCAAGGCAACGAUGCAUAGCCGACCUGAGAGGGUGAUCGGCCACACUGGAACUGAGACACGGUCCAGACUCCUACGGGAGGCAGCAGUAGGGAAUCUUCCGCAAUGGGCGAAAGCCUGACGGAGCAACGCCGCGUGAGUGAUGAAGGUCUUCGGAUCGUAAAACUCUGUUAUUAGGGAAGAACAUAUGUGUAAGUAACUGUGCACAUCUUGACGGUACCUAAUCAGAAAGCCACGGCUAACUACGUGCCAGCAGCCGCGGUAAUACGUAGGUGGCAAGCGUUAUCCGGAAUUAUUGGGUGUAAAGCGCGCGUAGGCGGUUUUUUAAGUCUGAUGUGAAAGCCCACGGCUCAACCGUGGAGGGUCAUUGGAAACUGGAAAACUUGAGUGCAGAAGAGGAAAGUGGAAUUCCAUGUGUAGCGGUGAAAUGCGCAGAGAUAUGGAGGAACACCAGUGGCGAAGGCGACUUUCUGGUCUGUAACUGACGCUGAUGUGCGAAAGCGUGGGGAUCAAACAGGAUUAGAUACCCUGGUAGUCCACGCCGUAAACGAUGAGUGCUAAGUGUUAGGGGGUUUCCGCCCCUUAGUGCUGCAGCUAACGCAUUAAGCACUCCGCCUGGGGAGUACGACCGCAAGGUUGAAACUCAAAGGAAUUGACGGGGACCCGCACAAGCGGUGGAGCAUGUGGUUUAAUUCGAAGCAACGCGAAGAACCUUACCAAAUCUUGACAUCCUUUGACAACUCUAGAGAUAGAGCUUUCCCCUUCGGGGGACAAAGUGACAGGUGGUGCAUGGUUGUCGUCAGCUCGUGUCGUGAGAUGUUGGGUUAAGUCCCGCAACGAGCGCAACCCUUAAGCUUAGUUGCCAUCAUUAAGUUGGGCACUCUAAGUUGACUGCCGGUGACAAACCGGAGGAAGGUGGGGAUGACGUCAAAUCAUCAUGCCCCUUAUGAUUUGGGCUACACACGUGCUACAAUGGACAAUACAAAGGGCAGCGAAACCGUGAGGUCAAGCAAAUCCCAUAAAGUUGUUCUCAGUUCGGAUUGUAGUCUGCAACUCGACUACAUGAAGCUGGAAUCGCUAGUAAUCGUAGAUCAGCAUGCUACGGUGAAUACGUUCCCGGGUCU